UUCUCGGCUAGUGCACCA
rnacentral:misc_RNA from 1 species